CCUCACGCUAGACAUGAUGACUACCAGCGUCACCGGAAUCUCCAUAGGAAAGCAUUAUAUAACCGCUGGACCCAGGUAAAUAACAGAAGGGGUUUAUAACCCCUUCUGCACCAAGGGGGGGGUCUUCGACAGAGGGGGAAGCUCUAGUGUCAGGAAAACAGUUUGUUUUCCUGGCACUAUAGUUUCCCUUUAAUACGAAAGGCGUGA